rnacentral:rRNA from 1 species
AUGGCGGCGGGAUCAAGCUCGCAGGGGCGGCAGGGCAAGGAGACGACGGAGGAAUUGCUUGCCAGGUUGAAUCUGCAAGAGGAGGAAGAUGAUGAGUUUGUGUGGGAAGAGGAGCCGCCGGAUCUGGGGGCGCCGGCAAAGUGGCUAGCCAUAGCCAGGGUGCACACCACAAGGACUUUCAGCCCUAAUGCUCUGUAUGGGGAUAUGCGUGCUGCAUGGAACCCGGCGAAGACGGUAGUCUGGAGGAAGAUUAAGGACAACUUGUUUACAGCUCAG